rnacentral:rRNA from 1 species
GAAAUGCGAUACGUAGUGUGAAUUGCAGAAUUCCGUGAACCAUCGAAUCUUUGAACGCAAAUUGCGCUCGAGGCUUCGGCCAAGAGCAUGUCUGCCUCAGCGUCGGCU